AUACGGAGGGUGCAAGCGUUAUUCGGAAUCAUUGGGCGUAAAGGGUGUGUAGACGGUAUGUUAAGUCUGUUGUUAAAUUUCUCGGCCUAACCGGGAAUCAGCGAUAGAUACUGGCGUACUUGAGGAUGGAAGAGAGAAGUGGAAUUCUCGGAGUAGCGGUACAAUGCGUAGAUCUCGAGAGGAACACCGAUGGCGAAGGCAGCUUCUUGGUCCAUUCCUGACGUUGAGACACGAAAGCGUGGGGAGCAAACAGGAUUAGAUACCCCGGUAGUCC
rnacentral:rRNA from 1 species